rnacentral:rRNA from 1 species
GCUUGCUGCAUGCUUUAUACAUGCAAGUCGAACGAAGGCCCUAGCUUGCUAGGUGUCCUUAGUGGCGCACGGGUGAGUAACACGUGGGAACAUACCUCAUAGUACGGAAUAACUGCGGGAAACUGUAGCUAAUACCGUAUAUUCCAGUAAUGGGAAAGAUUUAUCGCUAUGAGAUUGGCCCGCGCAAGAUUAGUUUGUUGGUAAGGUAAUGGCUUACCAAGGCUACGAUCUUUAGCUGGUUUGAGAGGAUGAUCAGCCACACUGGGACUGAGACACGGCCCAGACUCCUACGGGAGGCAGCAGUAGGGAAUAUUGGACAAUGGGGGCAACCCUGAUCCAGCAAUGCAGCGUGAGUGACGAAGGCCUUAGGGUUGUAAAACUCUUUCAUCGGUGAGGAUAAUGACAGUAGCCGAAGAAGAAGGACCGGCUAAUUCCGUGCCAGCAGCCGCGGUAAUACGGAAGGUCCUAGCGUUGUUCGGAAUUACUGGGCGUAAAGCGCAUGUAGGCGGAACAGAAAGUUAGAAGUGAAAUCCCUGGGCUCAACCUAGGAAUUGCUUUUAAAACUUCUGUUCUGGAAUUCAGGAGAGGAAAAUGGAAUAUCCAGUGUAGAGGUGAAAUUCGUAGAUAUUGGAUGGAACACCAGUGGCGAAGGCGAUUUUCUGGACUGAUAUUGACGCUGAGAUGCGAAGGCAUGGGUAGCAAACGGGAUUAGAUACCCCGGUAGUCCAUGCAGUAAACGAUGGGUGCUAGUCGUCGGACUUAUGUUCGGUGUCGUAGCUAACGCGUUAAGCACCCCGCCUGGGGAGUACGGU